AGCGAACGCUGGCGGCAGGCUUAACACAUGCAAGUCGAGCGGGCACUUUCGGGUGUCAGCGGCGGACGGGUGAGUAACGCGUGGGAACGUGCCCUCUGGUUCGGAAUAACUCAGGGAAACUUGAGCUAAUACCGGAUACGCCCAUUUGGGGAAAGGCUUGCUGCCGGAGGAUCGGCCCGCGUCUGAUUAGCUAGUUGGUUAGGUAACGGCUCACCAAGGCGACGAUCUGUAGCUGGUCUGAGAGGCUGAUCAGCCACACUGGGACUGAGACGCGGCCCAGACUCCUACGGGAGGCAGCAGUGGGGAAUAUUGGACAAUGGGCGCAAGCCAGAUCCAGCCAUGCCGCGUGAGUGAUGAAGGCCUUAGGGUUGUAAAGCUCUUUUAUCCGGGACGAUAAUGACGGUACCGGAGGAAUAAGCCCCGGCUAACUUCGUG
rnacentral:rRNA from 1 species